UCCCUGGUGGCUAAGCUGGUAAAGAAUCCACCUGCAAUGUGGGAAACCUGGGUUCAAUCCCUGGGUUGGGAA
rfam:TPA: Bos taurus chromosome 12, whole genome shotgun sequence.